rnacentral:rRNA from 1 species
UGAAAAGAAACUUUGGAGAGAGAGUUAAAAGCACGUGAAACCGUUGAAAGGGAAACGCGCUCGGCUAGCAAUGUGCUUCGACGGUUCAGCCGGUUUGGGGGUGGAGGUUGUCGCUGUCGGAUCCGAAUGGACCGCGGCGGCAGCCGUCCGCAUCCGAGCCGCGGUGCACUCUGUCGGAGUACGCGUCAGCGUCGGUUCGUCCCAGGCGAUAAGGCACGGAGGGAAGGUAGCUCGGGGCUUGCCCUGAGCAUUAUAGCCGCCUGUGCUGGGUCUGGAGCGGACCGAGGAGAGAGAGGAUCGCUGCAGCGCAUGCCGCAAGGCUAGCUGCCCGUUGCUCGGUUUGCUUCACUGGCUGAGGACUGCACGCAGUGUUCGGCUUGGCGGAGUAGCCAGGUAGUGGAGCAGUAUAAAUGCGCUUAGGACGCUGGCGUCCAAAUGGCCGUGCGCGACCCGUCUUGAAAAAC